rnacentral:rRNA from 1 species
AAGCUCGUAGUUGAAUUUCGGGCGGUCAUCCCGGGUGAUCUCUCGAUCAUACCCCGGAGCGCCGUCCUCCUCGCGGCCAACCAGGGUGCUCUUCACUGGGUGUUCUGGGGAACCGCGACGUUUACUUUGAAAAAAUUAGAGUGUUUAAAGCAAGCGUUCGCUUGAAUACAUUAGCAUGGAAUAAUGGAAUAGGGCUCCGGUUCUAUUUUGUUGGUUUCUAGAGUCGCCGUAAUGAUUAAUAGGGAUAGUUGGG